CGGGCCCAAUGGGUAGUCCGGGUAGGCCCAGGACUACCCAAAAUUUUGGCCCAAAAAUUUUUUAGAGCUUCAAAACAUUGUCCGCAUUUGGCCCAAGCCCAAUAACUCGCCAACUCUCCAUCAGUCCAUCUCCCUCAGCCGGUCAGCCCAAACCCUUCCAGUCCCAGACUCCCGUUCGUUCCCCUCCCCGCGACCCCGACCCUGUGCCCCGCCGCCACCCGCGCCCAGCGCCCGCAGGCCGCCGCCGCCCGCCACUCCCCGCCCCCCCGACCCCCGUCCCCCGGUCUCAUCCCGCCGGCGCCGUGCCUGGGCUGGGCACACGGCCGUGCGGGCGUGCGGUGUGCCUCCGCCUCGCGCCGCGGCCGCCUCGUCGUUACGCGCCGCGCCUUUCGCCGCCGCAGCGCCAGUGGGGUCCGCUGGUCUCGGAUCUGCCUGAGGCAAGGCUAGCGCGCUCAGAGCUUUGCUGGCAUUGGAGCGGCUUUGCCGUUUCGGCAGCGGCGGGGAGAUAGCUCGUUGCUGCGGCGGGGCGACCAGGUCCGUGCGGGGAAUUUGGCUUCGCGGCGGGCGGCGGCAUCCAAACCCAGCAGAUAAGACCGUAAGAAUUUAAGUUCUCAGUUCUCACUAAUUGGUUCCAAAAUGCUGCUUCAGUAUGCGUAUACAGAACAAAGAGUUCAAGUGGAUUUGUCUUCAGAGGUCUGUACUUUUCCAAAGAAAAAUCAUAGGUCAUAUGAUACAAAUAUUUGGCUACCAGGACAUAGGGAUUCUCUUUCGAAGGUAGAAGUGGUUGGCCAUAAAGUAAAAACUAGAAACUAAUGAUCUUGCAGAGGUUUUCUGCAUUAAUAAUUGAACUUUCCUUCAAGUUUUAUCCACCCCUUACCAUCAAUUCAGAACAUAGAUGCCUAUUUCCUACAAAAAACAGUCAUACUGGCAUAUUCUUACUUUGCAAGGACUUAAUGAUUGCAUAUGCUAAACCCAUAGUCACAAUACAAAAGAGAUAAGGCUCCCAGAGAAACAUGAAGCCAUUGUGAUUUCAUUAAUCCAUCAUUUUAUUGAUGUUGCAACAUUUUAUAUUGUAAGUUAUUCGAGUUCUCAACUAAUUUGUUGAAUUCAAUGUAUUAAGGGACCUUUUUUACUUAUGUUAUUGUAAAUUUGAUCGUUAUAUACCGUAUUGUUACCGAAGUGCUA